CCUACGGGUGACAGCAGUGAGGAAUAUUGGUCAAUGGGCGGAAGCCUGAACCAGCCAAGUAGCGUGCGGGAUGAAGGCCCUACGGGUCGUAAACCGCUUUUGCACGGGGAUACCACCCUCCACCUGUGGAGGUCUGCAGGUACCGUGCGUAUAAGGGCCGGCUAAUUCCGUGCCAGCAGCCGCGGUAAUACGGAAGGCCCGAGCGGUGUCCGGAUUCAUUGGGCUAAAAGGGAGCGUAGGCGGGCGUUCAAGUCAGCUGUAAAAUCGCGCGGCUCAACCGCGCCCCGCAGUUGAAACUGGACGCCUUGAGUUCACAACAGGCAGGGGGAAAUCGUGGUGGAGCGGUGAAAUGCAGAGAUAACACGAGGAACCCCGAGUGCGAAGGCAGCCUGCCGGGGUGCGACUGACGCUGAGGCUCGAAGGGGCGGGUAUCAAACAGGAUUAGAGACCCCUGUAGUC
rnacentral:rRNA from 1 species